GCCUGCAAAAAUUUUACACAGAGAAUGAAUCAUGGGCAGCUGAAGAAGUGAUUGAGAGACGAUAAGAAGUACCGGGACGGGUUCAUAUAUGAGGGUACUAUCCAUAUAGUAUUAGCACAAUUUUACAAGAGUGAUUAUUCGUUGGUUCCCAUAUCCGAUAUAUAUUUUACAAGUUUCUGGUUAAUACUGAGGGAAGGUUUCGAUGAGAAAAUCCAGCAGCAUCGCUACGUAUUAUCUGGCAAUGGAAAUGAAAAGAGCACACAUCUUUAAAAAGUGAGCUUCACUUUUUACAUUUUCUUUGGAGUGCUUGCUUGAUUCUUCUUCAUUUGCUCUUUUAUCUUCUAGUUUAUACAUUUCAGAAUUGCACAAUAAUGACAAGUAAAUGCUCAUUUUGCGAGCAAUGCUCUGCUUUUCAACUUUGUUGUUGUCGAGUGCUUCACUAUGGCUUCCACUUGACUUCUCUGUUUAUGCAACAUUCUCUUGUUUCAUAAGAAAGAAAGCAUCAAGUAAAUCAGCCAAGUUCAUUUUAAAUCUAUUUUGUAGGAACAAGAAGAUGCAAGCGACAUUGAGAUUGACAUCUGAUUGUUUUCUCAUGAAAUCAUUAUCUGCGGCUCCGUCAGGUCAACAACUUUUAUAACAUGUACUACUAGUACUACUUUGAAGUAAAAAAAAAAAAAAAAAAAAAACUAUAUAGAAAAAAUGAUAAGCUAGUAACAAAUUUGGUCGACAAGAAUGUUGGACUGGAUUUGGAGAUGAAAGAAAAGAAAAGAAUAAUAAAAUCGUACCCGUAAAAGAUAAAUGCCCUUUAAACCAAAACUAUAGCAUCUUCAGGAACUUUGUUUUACUUAGUCCCGGUUUUGAGUAAAGCUCACACUACCUUCUCUUCUUCCUUCACAGCCUCUUCGAUUUCUGCAGCAACAUCUUCUUCAUGGCUCUUCUUUGUCUCCUGCGUGAUUGCAGGUUCCGAGCUUUGAGCAUUCUCAUGCGACUCAGCAGCAGCUAGUUCUGACGCAUCAGGACCAGAAUCUUUCAACUCCUCGGCUAUUUCAUCCCCACU
rnacentral:lncRNA from 1 species